rnacentral:rRNA from 1 species
GAUGAACGCUGGCGGCGUGCCUAAUACAUGCAAGUCGAGCGGACGGACGCUACUCUUGCUUCUCUGUUGUUAGCGGCAGACGGGAGUAUAACACGUGGAUACCCUACCUAUCAGACUGGGAUCACUUCGAGACACCGGAUCUUAUCCCGUAUAAUCUUCUGCACCACGGUGUUCGAUAGUAAGUGUCGGUCGUUCGGUCAGUUAUCGCUGCAUCCCCGCUUCAUUGUCUAGUUGUUAAGGUCACGGCUUUCGAAGGCAAGGAUGCCUAGCCGACCUGCGAGGGUGAUCGGCCGCACGGGAACGGAGACACGGUCCAGACGACUACGGGAGGCAGCAGUAGGGAAUCGUCCGCAAUGGGCGAAAGCCUGACGGAGCAACGCCGCGUGAGUGAUGAAGGUCUUCGGAGCGUAAAACUCUGUUAUUAGGGAAGAACAUAUGUGUAAGUAACUGUGCACAUCGUGACGGUACCUAAUCAGAAAGCCACGGCUAACUACGUG